rnacentral:sRNA from 1 species
AUAAAUACUUGUGUGUGUGAAUCCGACAUCCACAUUUUGGCGCCGUCUGUGGAGACUGAGGAUUCUUGAGUCGUCAGAUUGUCUAUACCACAUUUUCGAGAUAAGCAACAAUGGCCGGAGAAGACGCC